rnacentral:lncRNA from 1 species
GCCUGUAAUCUCAGUGUCUCAGGAGACUGAGGCAGGAGGAUUGCAAGUUCAAAGCCAGCCUCAGCAACAGUGAAGUGCUAAGAGUCUCUAUCUCUAAAUAAAAUACACAGUAGGGCUGGGAACGUGGCUCCGUGGUUGAGUGCCCCUGAGUACAAUCCCCAGUAACAAAACAACAACAAAAAAGUCAUUUGACAACAUCAAGAUAUAUGUAUAUGCAACCACUCAGCAAUUUCUCUUGGAAAUGUAUCUUAGAGAAACCUUUACCCACAUGCAUAAGAAGAUGUACAUGAGAAAGCUUGUAACAGCAUCGUACUGGGAAUCAGCCACAUUUCUAUCGCCAGAAAAGUGAUAGCUACUUUUGGUAUAUGAACAGGUACACCUGUUCAACACAGAUGAAUUCCCAAAACAUAACAUUGAACCAACAAAUCAAACUGCAGAAAAAUACACACAGCAUGACUUCAUUUUUAUGAAAUUAAGAACAGAUGCAACCAGAUUAUAUUGACUGAGGAAACAUGUGUGUGUGUGUGUGUGUGUGUGUGUGUGUGUGGUGUGCUGGGGAUUGAACCCAGGGCCUUAUGCAUGCGAGGCAAGCACUCUAUCAACUGAGCUGUACCCCUGGCCCUCAACCAGAUUAUAGAUCAUUUAGAAAUAUAGGUUGUUCCUCAUUACUCAUGGGGAACUGAUGUUCCAGGGUCUUCUGAGGGUACCAGAAUCUGAGGGUGCUCUACUCCCUUCAGCCAACUGCAGAUGUGACUUCCACAGAUGUGGAGGGCCCACCGUUUCUCCCCAUUUCUAUUGUAAAAU